CACCUGCAUGUAACAAUUUCAAACAUAUUCGAUCAAGCAUUUCAGCAAAAAAAAUGAAGCAAAGUAUAACUGAACUCGAACUAGGCGACCAAAAGUGUUCUACCAAUGAAAAUCAACCUCCCUUAGCAACUUUAUCGGGCACUUCAGCAAAGGAGAUCAACGUCAACAAUUUGACUGAUGCGGAUCAGAAUCCGUUCAUAAAAAGUGGACCAGAAUGUUAUCAGUUUGGAUGAUGAGCAGCAGAAAACGUUGGUUCAUAAUGGACCUGCAUGUAAUCAGGAAAUGGGACUUGCUAAUUUGGAUGAUGAGCAGAAAACAAUAAAAAAACAUGGAGCAGCUUGUGAUGAGGAUUACACGUAUAUAAAGAUUCCUACAUUCUUCCUACGUUCUCUUUAAACCCAGGUAAAGCUUCUCUUUUUUAAUGUUUAUUUAUGUAGGGAUUGUGUAGAUAAAGCUUCUUCAAACUUUCAACAUCUUCACUACAAAGUCCACAAGAACUAGAGAAUUUUUAGGCAUAACCUUUUCUUAUUUAGGCAUACAAAUCUUAAUACUACAUGUUUUAGGCAUAAUAUGCGUAGACUGAAAGAAGUUAAACGCAUAAGGAUCAUAUACCUGCGUCAGCACGUCAUUUGUUUAACAAGCUGAAAUCCACUCCAAUAUAUUAUGCCAGCCCAGAUCCCAUUUAGCAGCCUGAGUGCCUCCCAUUUUGCCCAAAUAAAGAUACAUUUAGGAACCUGAAAAUUCCAACAAGUUCAUUAUAUCAAAAAGUGUUUAUGUAUAAAUA